UGUCGAUUAAUAGUAUCUCCCACAGUUCAGUCUCAGAUAUUUGAUGACCUUGUAUUUUAGUUUACUCAGCACAGUGUUGAUUAGUUACAUGCUUAUAAUUAUUACUUGGUCAUUGCAUCAACUAAUUUAUUUCAGUUUUAUAUUCAGUUCAACAUCUUAGAUUUAUCAUAAUUAGCUUGUUAGAUUAUUGUGUAUAUCUCACAUAUUCAGUAUAUUCA
rnacentral:lncRNA from 1 species